CCAGGGUGGCACCUGUAUCAACGGCAGCUCUCAGAGUUUUCUAGAAAUGCUAUUCUUGUUCUGCACCCAACCUCUUAAGUGAGACAUCCUGGAAGGCCCAGCAGUCUCGAUUUCGGUCAUGGAGUUUACCACAGCGACAGGGAAGUAAACUACAACACUAGAGAUUGAUUGAUGGUUGGCAGAAAUACCCUCCACAAAAUGCAUCGCGGAUAUUUUAACUGACACCUAGAACUCACUGUCUUGUAAGGGCAUUAUCUUACUCCACACAAAGAACUCUGAUGAAGCCCUGCUGCCGAGCACUUUGAAAUCUUUGGAUGACAAGCACGACAGAAGCGCCAAGUAUAAUCGCUACCCGUGCCAGAAACACUAGAAGACUGCACAAAAAUAGGAAGCAAAGAAAUUUUCACGUUGUGCAAGCUUCAGUGAGAAAAUUGGCCGGCAGAAGUCUUUUGAGUGCCUUGAUUCUUGCGAGACCCAGGCAUCUAAGCCAUAAAGUCGGAGAGGAUGCUACAGGCCGAGAACUGGGGAGAGUCCAAGCCUUGAUACUGUCAAAAACUAGUCGUUGAUCUACUUGCAAUAGAAACAGAGCAUCCUGUGACUGUGGCCUUACUACCUUCCAGUUUAUCUUCUUAGACCUCCUUCCUGCCCUGUAUGUGAGAACAUGAGAGACGCCAAGAGGGGAUCUUUUCAACAACCUUUGAUAGAUUAGGAACCACAGAAUAAGAUCUUUACACUGAAGAUCUUAAAAGUCAAAAUUGCACAGGGUGGUUUGGCUGCUGCACCCCACAGAGAAGUUCAGAAAGUAAAAGCUUCUGGAUUCUGAUUUAUGGAUGAACUUGUGAAAGCAUUUAAGUGCUGGAAUGGAGCCACUCAAAUCUGAUCCAACUGAUUCUGCAAUAUUACAUAGAGGCGGGAACCAUGUGUUCCCAUGCUUCCAUAUUGCCGAAAUAAAUAUAAAUGAUUACUAGACCCGCUUGCAAUGAACUUGAGGAGGUUGGUGGAAGCACACAAUGUCAGAGGCUCACAGUGAUCUUCAGGAUAGCUCCCUAGUGGCUGCAAAUAAGAGUCUUAUUGUUUGAUGAAUGGUCUUCUCCCAUACUGUGAUGGGAAGAAUAAUAAAAGCAAUGGCAAUAUAGUAUGAAAGAAGCAUUUUCUCGUCUGGAAGAAAACUAUGGUCUUCACAAACUAUUUGGAAGGUCCAAAAAUAACUUGUACAGUUCAUUGAAUUUUGAAGAAAAAGUAAGCUAUGAUACAGGAGAAAGAGGUUUAAAAAUGAAGUGGAAAAAAAGGUUUAUACUUUCAUUGGCUAAAAAGGGAUCUAUUGAACAGUAAUUAUGCACACCAAGGAAGCACUGUCUCUAGUGCAUUUAAAAGGGAAUAUUGAGGCACGUUAUAGGAGCAUGGUGUGGGGGAGUUUUUUUUCCUGGGCGGGGUAGGGCUGUCUUUAUGAAAACCAGAGGCUCUAAAAUAAAUAAUUUUGUCAUUGGU